CUUUUUUUAUUUUUGCAUGUAACGGUCGGGCCUUCCCCGGGCCCGUGCUGCCCUCUUCCGGCACCGGCGGCUUUUUUUUACAACCCAAAGUUUGUAAACAAGAGUCACGUGUUGGCGAGGGGGCGGCGGGUCACACCGUGUGUGUCCCUCCCACCACCGGUGCAGCCCCCGUGUCCCCAAGGAUGCUCGGGUGAGGAUCUGGGAGCGGGCAGCAUCCGCCUGACGAGCUCCGCCUGUCUCCCGCAGGAACACGAGUGUACAGCCCGCCGGAGUGGGUCCGCUACCACCGCUACCACGGCCGUUCAGCAACAAUCUGGUCCCUGGGCGUCCUGCUCUAUGACAUGGUCUGCGGGGAUGUCCCCUUCGAGCAGGACGAGGACAUUGUUAGGGGCCAACUCUUCUUCCGCCAGCCGAUCUCCCUCGAGUGCCAACACCUCAUCAGGUGGUGUUUGUCCUUGCGGCCUUCAGACAGACCGUCUCUGGAGGACGUUUUCAACCACUCUUGGCUGCAAGGCAUUCACCUGCCCUAGGAGAUGGCAGACACCCCAUCUGCACGGUUUGGCCCAGGACCCUGGCAAAAAAACAGCUCCAGGCAUCUCCUGGCCAUAAGAAGCAAAGAAAACCAGGCUUCCUCACAAGCGUAGCACUGAGCAGGGAUCAUCAGAUGGGAACACGCACAUCUUGUCCCAAAGCUGGGCUGGAAACCUGGUCUUGCAAGUUCCGGUGGCCGCCAUCCAACCCAGCUGCCCUGGACUCUAUCUGAAUGACCCUGUCUCAUUUGCUGGUCUUGCCAGUAAUUAUUUUUUGUUUGUUUUGGUCUGGUUUUGGUUCUGGUUUCGGUGGCUCCCAAACAUCUUCCUGAUCACCUGAAUUCGGGACGGCGAGAGGAUCAGAGACCUUACUGCAAGAAAAGCUUCAACAGGGGAAAAACUGCAGGGGGAGGGCAGGUACCGUGGCUGAAUGGGUCUCCUCCGCUGUCACCGUGCUCGAGUGCCUUCAGUUGAGAUCUGGGCUGUGCUGGAGGAUAUACUUGAAUUUUCCUACUCUGCUGCUUUUCCAAGACUCACCUGGGUAUAUAUUUCCUCUUUUCAAAAAGAAAACAGGUCAGAAGACAUUUGGGAGCCAAGCAGGCGAUCCCCUCACCUCCCGUGCCUCCAUAUCGCGUGGAUUUUCUGGGUUUCUUUGCUUCCCUGUGCCCUCACGAAUGCACAAACAAUGCAAACCAACAGAGCUGUAAAUGUGUUCAAAGUUAUAUAGGAGCGAAAUUUGAUGUACAGUUGUUAAUAGUGAUAAUGUUUUACUUUUCUUUUUUUUCCCAGUUUUUAAUUUAUUUUCAUGAAUUUGUUUUUUUUUUAAAGAGAGAGUUCUAGCCGGUAGGAUAACUUAUUUAUUUAUUUAUAAUUCACGUGGGUUUCCAACCCACGCCUUGCUUCUACAGCUGCUGAUCCCCCGGUUUUCCAUUUGGGUCUUCCCUCCGUGUCUGUCCCGUGUCCAUCCCCAGCCCGCAGUGUUUCUGUCUGGCGGAGGUGCGGAGCGGCUGCCUGCUCCCCAGCUGUCUCUGUACAUACUUCUGGUUGCUGUUGUUUCCUUGCCAUGUGUUUUGUUUUUUCCCCCACGGGUGUCUUGUUUGGGACUGGGGAGGGGGGAGCUGGGCCGGGCUGUCCGCGCUGUCGAGUCUUUAUAUGUAACUAAGUGUUUAGCCGGCGGGUCUUUUCUUAAUAGUUCAUAUUGUACAGGGGAAUUCAGAAAUCUUAUUUUUUUUAUGCAGUUUUAAAUAAAAACAAACCACUUGA